rnacentral:rRNA from 1 species
AUUGAACGCUGGCGGCAGGCUUAACACAUGCAAGUCGAACGAGUCGCGGGCGGGUGAGUAAUGUAUGGGGAUCUGCCUGAUGGAGGGGGAUAACUACUGGAAACGUUAGCUAAUACCGCAUACCAUCAGCGGAACCCAUAGGGGAUUUGCUGUUAGGUAAGGUAACGGCUUACCUAGGCGACGAUCCCUAGCUGGUCUGAGAGGAUGAUGCGCCACACUGGGACUGAGACACGGCCCAGACUCCUACGGGAGGCAGCAGAGGGGAAUAUUGCGCAAUGGGGGCAACCCUGACGCAGCCAUGCCGCGUGAAUGAAGAAGGCCUUCGGGUUGUAAAGUUCUUUCGGUAGCGAGGCGUUAACUACAGAAGAAGCACCGGCUAACUCCGUGCCAGCAGCCGCGGUAAUUC